GAGGAAUAUUGGUCAAUGGGCGCGAGCCUGAACCAGCCAAGUAGCGUGAAGGAUGACUGCCCUAUGGGUUGUAAACUUCUUUUAUAAGGGAAUAAAGUGAGGCACGUGUGCCUUAUUGUAUGUACCUUAGGAAUAAGCACCGGCUAACUACGUGCCAGCAGCCGCGGUAAUACGUAGGGUGCGAGCGUUAAUCGGAAUUACUGGGCGUAAAGCGUGCGCAGGCGGCUUUGCAAGACAGAGGUGAAAUCCCCGGGCUCAACCUGGGAACUGCCUUUGUGACUGCAAGGCUAGAGUACGGCAGAGGGGGAUGGAAUUCCGCGUGUAGCAGUGAAAUGCGUAGAUAUGCGGAGGAACACCAAUGGCGAAGGCAAUCCCCUGGGCCUGUACUGACGCUCAUGCACGAAAGCGUGGGGAGCAAACA
rnacentral:rRNA from 1 species